AUGGGCAGUGUGUCCGUGAGCAGCGGCGGCGGCCGGGUCUGGAGGUCCUGCGUUCCUCGCCAGGCGCCCUACAGGCCCUGGUGCGGAGUACCCCCUCCGCCCGGCUCCCUCCUCGCAGCCAGGGGACUGGGGGUCGCGCGGGCGCCAGUGGAGGCUGCAGGUGAAGCCGUCGGGACGCGCCCCUCGCAGCCCCCCGGGUCGCCCUCUGCGCCCCCGUCGCAGGCGCCUGGCAGCUGGAAGGACUGCGCGGCCGCCUCACCCGCCCCAGACGUUUUGGGAGUUGAUGACAGUAACGUGGGGGAUGGCAGCUCUCAGAAGCUGGCAACUGUUAAUCUUCUUCGCUUCCUGUCGCUGGUCCUGAUUCCAUGCAUCUGUGCUCUUGUCGUUCUACUGGUGAUCUUGCUCUCUUUUGUUGGAACAUUAAAAACGACCUAUUUUAAAUCAAAUAAAAGUGAACCUUUGGUAACCGAUGGUGAAGUCCAAGUCCCUGAUAUUAUUCUUAUAAAUACAGUAUAUAAUGAGAGUACAGUGACACCUACUGCUCGACCCACUCAACACCUUCCAGCCUGGGAUAUGGAAACUCCUUUCCGUGGGGACCAGCAUCACAGGAAUACAAGUAAGUUGAGGUACUGAAUGAGAAUGGCCUUUAAUGUCUGUUGAAGCCACAGGGAGGUUUUUAAUUGCUGCAACCAGUCCUCUGAAUUCCUUGUUAUCCGCGGAGCUCCAGUAAUCUGGAAAGCCUGGGCAAGUGCCCUGCCUUACCCAUGAAAUGCCAGUGGUUCCGCUGUCCAGAUAGGGACUGGAUAAGAAAUGAGACUGUGACCAAGCCUUUCAACCUGUCUGGGAUAUAAAAACUAUGCUGCUUACUUAAUAUGAAAGUUCAUGCUGAUGUUUUAAAGUUAUUAUUUUGAGAUGGUUAGGUUAGUAAGUUAAGUUACUUAUGUUGUUGGUUCCUUGCAGGAGAGAUCCCCAUUACAUAAUGGAUGGCAAGUGGUUUAAUGGGGCCAUUCCCCUAUUUGCUUUUGAGCUAUCGAUGUGCUCUUCAUAUCUUGCUUCCCUUUCCCCCCUCUUUAAUUGGCUGUGAAAGUUAGUUUACAUGUUGGUGACUGAAAAUCACACCUUGAGAAAAAUGGCAUGUGUAAAACUCUUCAGCAGG
rnacentral:lncRNA from 1 species